GACGAACGCUGGCGGCGUGCUUAACACAUGCAAGUCGAACGAAGAGCGAUGGAAGCUUGCUUCUAUCACUCUUAGUGGCGAACGGGUGAGUAACGCGUAAUCAACCUGCCCUUCAGAGGGGGACAACAGUUGGAAACGACUGCUAAUACCGCAUACGAUCUAAUCUCGGCAUCGAGGAUAGAUGAAAGGUGGCCUCUACAUGUAAGCUAUCACUGAAGGAGGGGAUUGCGUCUGAUUAGCUAGUUGGAGGGGUAACGGCCCACCAAGGCGAUGAUCAGUAGCCGGUCUGAGAGGAGGAACGGCCACAUUGGGACUGAGACACGGCCCAGACUCCUACGGGAGGCAGCAGUGGGGAAUCUUCCGCAAUGGACGAAAGUCUGACGGAGCAACGCCGCGUGAGUGAUGACGGCCUUCGGGUUGUAAAGCUCGGUUAAUCGGGACGAAAGGCCUUCUUGCGAAUAGGGAGAAGGAUUGACGGUACCGGAAUAGAAAGCCACGGCUAACUACGUG
rnacentral:rRNA from 1 species